UCAGGAAUGUUAUUCAAUAGCCAUCAAGCCUUUGAAAGAGAAAAAAAUCAGAAUCGGGGGAAGUUCUCAAAAAUUAAGCUAAUAGAAACUUUGUUCUUGAUAAAAUCCUCAAAAAUCAAACACUGAUUUGCAUCGGAGUAUCCCUUGCCAGCACACACUCGAAGUCAUAUAAACAAGGAUUCGCGAAUAUUUCAAGUUUAAUCUAGUUCAAUUAGAGGAAUCAGGUAUUGUUCUAUGACAAUAAAAUUCGGAUCCGGAUUUUUCCGGAUCCGCAUAUUAAAAAAUACCGAUCCAGAUUUAAAAAAUGAAGAUUCACACGAAUCCGAAUCCAAGUGCAUUCAGAAAAUCGAAUAUCUGAAUCUGGUUUAAUUUUGUUUAAAUUAAAAAAUAUAUAUUAACUUAAAUUAAAAAAAAUCUAACCUAAAUGGCUUAGUCCCUAACCAUUGCAUCCAAUUCCACGCACACUCAAGCCUCACGGUACCUCACCAACAGCCGUAACCCUCAACCCUAAUGCCCAAAUCUGAACGGCUUGUAACGCUGUCGACCAAUUGUCGUCUUCCUCGCAGCCUUGCCUCAGCAUCGCGUCAAAGCCUCACCUGAGCACGUUGCUGUCACUGCACAUUGCACGCCUCGCCGUCGUCAAAGCCACGCCGUUAUUGCUGCAUAGGUCACCGUCAUCCAAGCCUCGCCUGAUUGGAUCAUUCUUGCCUGUAAUUUGCUCUCUUGUUUCUGUUAAUUUUCUUUUGUUUCUAUUAAUUACAUGGGUUUUUUCUUUUUCUAGUUAAUAAUUUGGUAUUGUGGUUGCUUGUUUGAUUCUAUUUAAUGAGUUUAAUUUAAUGCAAACCUGUUUAAGCUUCAAAAGGUUGUUGGCUCAAUUUAAUUUCCUUAUUGAUUCAAUUUAAUUUGAUUUUGAUUAAUUUUCUUUGUUGAUUCAUUUAAUUACUCUAAUUAAAUGCAUUAAUUUUCAAUAUAAUAUAAAUACUUAAUCUCAUUUUUUUCACAUAAACUAACUCACUUUACGUUAAUUACUCUAAUUAAAUACAUUAAUUUUCAUAUUGAAUUGUUAAUUAUUAUAUUAUGAUU
rnacentral:lncRNA from 1 species